AAAAGAUACGUUUAGUCCCAUCUGCUAUCCAAUUAUUAAAGUUCCAAUCACUUAUUGACUAUGUUUUGGAAAUAAUCAAAUGAUGAUUCUGUAUCUUAUACGUCAAUACUAAUCCAACUUAAGGCAGAUUCAUGCCACUCUAGCUUCCUGCAAGGCUACGCAAACAAGGAAACCUAAUGAGAACAAAUGUUGGGUGCAUGGCUAAUUCUCGUACAGAACCAUGAUAGCAUUAACAUAAUAGCAUUUGCUCCUUGAAGCCAACAUCAAAUCAUGAAUCUAGAAAAUCUUGCAAUUCCAGCAAAGUGGGGUUCCUUUACCACUCACCCACCAACCACAUUACUCAAGAUUCACAAUAAAGCCAACA
rnacentral:misc_RNA from 1 species